GCCCAGCUUGCUCAGCAGCGGGACGGGGGUCACGGGGUGUGAGGCGCUGCGCUGAGAUCGCAUUGGUAACGGACCCACCAGGCUGGGCCACACGGUGUUGGGUGGCCGCAGAACACCAAGCCAUGGCCCUGGGCGGGCAAUCUGCUGACUGACAUCUGACUGCUGCUGAAUGCUUGCAGUUUUCACCCCGGUCUAUAUGCAGCUCAGCUAUGUGCCACUUUGGUCCCUGCUCCAGUGAUUGCUAAAUGGCAUGGUACAGUUUCCUACAAUGGGAGAACUAACAAGGCUGCAAUCCCUUGGAAUCUGUGGCAGAGGAUUAACAAGUACCUCCUGGAAGCCUUCCAGAGUCUCUUUCUGGAGGAUUCCCUACAGGUCUCGAUGUGCAUCGACACCCUGCUUGGCCAUGCAGAUUAGCUACACAGAAAACAUUACCUGCCUGCCACUUUUCGAUUCCCUACCCAAGCCACAGCAACUUACCCGGCGUCUCAGCUCACAGAAAACACUACCUGUCUGCCACUUUUCGAUUCCCUACCCAAGCCACAACAACUUACCCGGCGUCUCAUCUGCUUCCUGCUCCCCGUUGAGCACUUCUGGAGUGGAGAAAAGUUCCUGGCUGCCUGCCCCACCGCGCGACCCCGAUGGGAGCUCCACUUCUUCUAGCUCCAGAAUUUCAGCCUGCAGGUUACCCCCUUUUUCUGCUGCCUGUGAAGUAUCACGGGGCUAUCGGAGAUGGAGUUGGGGUGACCACUGAGGAUAGCAUUCAGCUCCUUAUAGAAGCGGCAGGUCUUAGGUGCACCAGCAGAGCGAUGGUUCGCCUCCCCCCACAACUUAUGGUACACCUGCCUCAGCUCUUUUAUCUUUGCUCUGCACUGCUGCAUGUCCUGAUCAUAGCCCUUUUUGCACAAGCCUCGAGAAAUUUGCCCAUAUGUGUCCCGAUUCCUACGGGUCACUCGCAGCUGCGACUGAACAGACUCUUCUCCCCAUAUACUGAUCAGAUCCAACAACUCAGCAGUGGUCCAAGUGGGAGCGCUUUUGGUGCGAUAGCCAGCCAUGCUCACCUAGGAAGCUCCUCUGGGAAGCCAGCAAACAGGAAAUGAGAUUUAAAAUUCCUAGGGCUUGCAAGGGGGAGGGGUGGCUUGGCUGCAGGGCAGUGGAGUUCAAACCGCUGACCAGAGCGGCAGCAUGGGAAUUGUGGAACACUUUCUGGAGGUCAAUAAAAUCGGGGGUGGGAGGGAGGGCGUUGUGUCUACACUGCAUGUUUGUCGACAAUAAAGGGAAGGGAAAAGACAAAAGUCUCUCACAAGGGUGGAAGUUUUUUGUUGCCAAAACUAGGCGGGGAUUUUUUUUCCCGAAAAAAGUCACAUUGCAGGGUGUACGCUAUCGCUGUUUUGUCGCCAAAAGCCAGUUUUUGGUGAAAAAACUUGCCAGUGUAGCCAAGCCCUCAGUCUCAUCCCUGCCUUCCCUACUACUCACUGCACAUCCUGCAGAGCAUGUCACUACACAUACACAGCACAACUCACACAUGCUGCCUUUGCCCACCCGCUCUCCACAUUCCCUAAUCACCACGCACAACAUGCUUCACAAUGACAAUUUGCAGCUCUUGGCUAUAAUUCACCUCCUAAUUAGGGCUGUCUGUUUUGGUUGGACAUAUUCCUGGAGGUUUCAUCACAUGACAAUCUAAUUAAAGAUUAAUCUUUAAUUCCUGCAGACUCUAGGACAAUCCUGGAGGGUUGGCAACCCUACUCCUAAACCAACUCCAUGACCCAACACCGGGCAAGGCCCUUCAAUACUUUGCAGCGUCGUACUUCAAAACAUUCCCUCCCCCUCCUCAACCCCCCCCAAACCUAAUUCAAGACAUACACAUGAUUAAUGUGGCUUGCUCUGUACCCUCCCAUACAUUUCACCCACCGUACACACUUUUCAUAGUGCUUGCUCCAUGCCCUCCAGAAUUAACACACUUACACACACACUGCUUCCACCCCUCAUGCGCACACAGAUCCACACAUAUUGCAGUCCCUUCACGCACACACAAUGCUGCACCCCACCCCCACAAAAACACCCAUGCACAAUAAAUGUUGUUUGAUCCAGGGGCCGCUGCUCUGGCCACCCUCAGGACUGCCCACUGGUCAUGGCUCAGGCUGCCCCCGGGACCACUGGUGCUCCGGAGGUCCCUGGGCCAUCCCUGGACUGCUGCUUGGCUGGCUCCAGGACCAGCCGCACUGGCCGCUGCAGCUGUGGAAGUCACGGAACCCAUGAAUUCCACGACCCCCGUGACAGACUCGCAGCCUUAUCCAUAAUUAAGGCAUCGCUCACAUACUCUGCACCACAUACACACACCACUCUGCACACAAUUAAUACAUCCUACACACACUGUCGUCGUUCCACCCCCAACUCUCAUAUACUGCAUUCCUGCUGUUCCACAAUUGAUGCAUCCUCACACACUUUGCAAACCUCCUCCUCCUCUACACCCACUUAUCCCUGCCCCAGAGGAGAGAGCAAGGGAGCGGCAGGACCUCCGGUGGAGGGAGAUGGAGAAGAAAGAGGGAAAUCUAAAGGGAGGCAGUGGUUAUGUUCUCCUCGACCAGAGCUUUCCUCUGCAAGCAGGUGAUAUUUCCAGAUUUGCAUGCAGCAUACCAGCUGCUUUUGACUGGAAAUUGUGGGGGGUGGUAGUGGUAAGGGGGAAGCAAGAGAAUUUGUGAGGUAGAAAACUGGGUUUGAGAGGUGACUGCACAGGUGGGUUUUAGAAGCGUAGGCAAAAGCCUACAGCACCCGGUAUUCCCAGUCAGUCUCCUAUCCAAGAACUAACCAGGUCUGACGCUGCUUGGUUUUAGAGAGCAGACAAGAUUGGGUGCAUGCACCUGGCCAUAGACAGCCUCAGCUUUAAACUUUGCCCCUUUUUAAACUGAUUUUAGCCUCUCCUCUGCCACUCACACAGCGCCCACUGCAGGACACACUGCAACACACACACAAAAAUCUUACUUGUUCUCCUUACCCAUGCACCCUCCCCCCCAUUCUUUACGUACUUCCCACAACUGCAACAACAACGGCUCAAACACAUUUCUUCGCAGCUCUUGGCUACAGUCCACUGCCUAAACCAGCUCUAGGAACAAAUCCUGGACAAGACUCAGACCUUUCAACACACGACAUGACUACACUUAAAAAAAAAAAGCAUACACAAUCCAAACCCACU